GGGCUGUUAGUUUAAUGGUAAAACUCCUGUUUUGCAAGCAGGCAUUAAGAGUUCAAUUCUCUUACGGUCCA
rnacentral:tRNA from 1 species